rnacentral:tRNA from 1 species
UGGGGAAUUAGCUCAGUUGGUAGAGCGAUUGGUUCGCAAUCAAUAGGUCAGGGGUUCGAAUCCCCUAUUCUCCAUUAU